rnacentral:rRNA from 1 species
GACGAACCGUGCGAACGUUGUUCGGAUUCACUGGGCUUAAAGGGCGCGUAGGCGGGCCAGCGAGUCGGGGGUGAAAUCCCACGGCCCAACCGUGGAAGAGCUUUCGAUACUGCUGGCCUUGAGGGAGGUAGGGGCGUGUGGAACUUCCGGUGGAGCGGUGAAAUGCGUAGAUAUCGGAAGAACACCGGUGGCGAAGGCGGCCUGCUGGGCAGUAGCUGACACUGAGGCGCGACAGCGUGGGGAGCAAACGGG